UCUUUCCUUUCACAGCUGCUGCCAUGGAGUCGUUCCGACAGCUUUCGGCUUCUUGCCAUCCGCCAUCAUCCGCCCCUCCUCGGCGUUGGAGUCCCCGGCGGCUUGACCCUCCCUGAGUUUUCACUGCGGAGGACCAGUGAGAGCAGAGUCGGGCCUUUUCUGCGUGGGCUGUGGUCCCAUUGCUCCCCUCCCGCAGUGUCGUUUCAAUAAUCCUAUCUACAAGGGGACUCAGCCUCAGACGGGAGCUUUCUGCCUGUCUCAAAGGACUCUAGCCAGUUGGCCUCCAUUUGUGGAGUACCAUAAAACAAAAAAAAAAUCAUGCUUGCUGUGCUUCUAGGACCUGGACUCUUGCUUGUCUCAGCCUCUUUUCUACAUUGUUUCAUAAGAGGGAUGAGAACUAGAGACAUAAGUUAAUAAGCCUGGCUUCAACAGGAUUCUAGUCAGGAUAGACCAGAUUCAAAGCGUUUGACUGCUGCUCAAUCAACCAUGGUGGGAAAGAGGGAAGAUUACCUGGAUCUAGAAGUCUCCUGUCCAGUCAUCUGGAAAGCCUCAGGGCCUUUGUCUUCUGGCCCAAAGGGGGGAAGGAAAAGCUCCUGCCUUAGCUGAAGUUAAAAACAUUCUUCUGUGCCUGUCAUUCCCAGCGGACUGCCACUCACCCUGGACUGAGCCUUUGGGGGUCAGUGUAGCCUUUGUUCUGAACACACAGCAUGUGCAAUCUGCACUGCAUUUGCUGUCAUGGGGUCACAAGUGGAAAAAGGUUAAGCCACCCUGUACUAUAUUAUAAUGGCUAUUUACUGGCCCUAUGUCAUGUACCCUUCAUAAUUGCUUUGUUGACCAGAAUUCCUAUGCUAAGACAAGCCUUUGUAGGCUUGCAUCUGAGUUAAGCCAUUCUGAUGACCCUCUGUCAUUUCCAUUUGGAAUAAAUUAUUCUCUAAGAAUUUGAAGUUUAGAAUAUAGUAUACCAUUUUGCCCAUGAUACAUUAAUUAUAUUGAUGACACUGUUUCUAAAUAAAUUCUAGAAUGCUUAGAAAGCACUGUGAUAACUGUAAAUUGCUUUUUUGUGUGUUUUUGUUUGUUUUUAAAAGGUUGGAUUAUAUAUGUGUAUGUAUGAAUUGGCUCCAAAGUUCCGGGUGGUGAGUUCAUCUGAUGCAGUCUUUUAAGUUGAUUGUAACCAGAAAUGCCAAGCCAAAUUACUUGUGCUUUCACAAUUGUCAGCUGAUCGACUAAUUAGGUAUUUUACUAUGAUGCUGGGGGGGGGGUGUUCAUCAAUGAUCAUCUUAAUAUAGUGUAUAUUUGAACAUAUGGAGCUUACUCCUGGAUACUUACUGGGUUUACUUUUGAUAAUGUUUCCUAAACAGGUCAUUCUCCUGUUAGCAGCUGUUGACCUAGAACACUGAAAUUUUAAAAAGUAGGCUUUAAAUGCUGGCACAAAUGUUUCCAGUCACAAGUUUCUUGGAAGUAAAUGUGAAAACUUUGAAUGGUUUAUUAAGCGAUACCAAUUAAGACAAAAGGAAUAAACAACUUAAAGCCUCAUCUAAACAUUUUUUAAACUAAAAAGAUGUUCCUGUGGAAGUACAGGCCUUUUUGCAUGCUAUCAGUGAAAGUAGAAAAGACUUUGUCAUAGUUACAUAGACAUGUACAUGUAAGUACGCUGUAUCUUCACUUAGAAAGGUGUAGAUACUACACAAAUUAUGUUUUCAUAAAUGUUAACAAACCCUAUUUCAGUUUAAAAGAUGACUUGAAACUAAGAGUAAGGUUUAUUCUUAGAAGCAAGGUAACAGGAUGGAGUAUAAGGACCUAGAUUCGAAGCUGUGUGACCUUGGGCAAGUCAUUUAAACGUCUCUGGGCAUGUACAUGUCUGAAGAGGUGAGAGAGCCAUCUCCCAAGCUGCUCAACAUAAGUACAGGAAAAGUGCUUCGCUGUAGUUUUGCCAUACCCAUUGCUGUUAUCGUACUGGGAUUUUAGAGAUGGGAAGUUUGAAUGUGGGGCAAACAAUGCUGGUAGUGUAGACAAUGCUGAGCUUUGGUAUUUUUCUGGGAGUGUUACCAAGGAUGUGAUAAAGUGUUCUGACAAAUGGCAAACUAUUCACUCCAGAUGAUUUGUAAAGGGAUAAGUCAUACCAUUAAAAAAUCUAGGAAGCAUUGCUAAAGAUUUAUGGAGUCUUUGGCAAGAAACUAAAAGAAAAAUUCAAGAUUCAGGAAGAGAAUUAUCUGGUUAAGAGGCUACUAUCUGAACAGACUUUCAAUCUGAGUAAAGAUUAAGGUAUAUGAAUAAUGGCUUUGUCCACAGAUCACCUAAUGAUAACUGGUAAAAACAUUGCUUCAAUUCCCAGAAAAAUUCUAAAACUUAAAAUUGUGAGCAUUUAGAAAGGGAAAUAGUGAUCAAAACUUCAUUGAGAAUAGGUCAUGCCAUUUUGGAAUGUUGACAAGCUGGAGCAAGUACAAAGAAGAUGAAUAGAAUGAGGAAAAGAUUAGUCUCCAAAGAAUAUGGGAUUUUAUCUGGAAGAAGAAAAAACUUAGGAGAAACAGGAUCAUUAGUUAAAGGGCUAUUUUGGGGGCAUUAGACCUGUCCUACUUUGGCCCAAAAAGUAGAACUAGGUACUAGAGGUGAAAGCUGCACAAAGGCAGACUUCAGCUCAACUUCCUAACUAGAAGAGCAGCCCCAAAGUAGAAUGGGCUGCUCUGGGAGGUAGUAGGUUCACCAUUGGAGAUCUGGUGAAGUCUAGAUGACCACUUGAUGGAGAUGUUGCAGAGAUUUCUGUUGAGGUAUAGGUUGGACUAGAUAGCCUCUGAAAUCAAAUCCAUUUCUAAAGAUCUUGUAAUUCUGUGGCCUGUCACUUUUUUAGCACAAGUACUAGAGGGGGUUGCCAACUCCUGUCUUAGAAUGACAGCAAUUGAAAGCUAUAAAAGCUUUGGCUAAAGGUAUUAAUGUUAUCAAAAAUAGGUUAUUUAAAUUUACAACAGAAAUAAGAGACAUUUUAGAAAAAUUUGGCUCAAAACUAGAGCAUUUACAAUUUUUUCUCUGCUUCAUUUUAACUUAAAAGUAGCAAGAGAUUCUGUCUGCCAAAUGAAAAAGGCACAGAAGACAUUUCCCUCCAAAAAUAUAUCCCUACAGUUUUAAGGAAUAACUUUACUUCGUUGCUCACCUUAUUCUAAUCCCAA